rnacentral:tRNA from 1 species
GUCGGGAUAGCUCUAAUU